ACUGAUUCUAUGGCUCACGACUUAAAGAAAUCACAUUAAUGCAAGUGUCCAAUCAGGUAUUAAGCAAACCAGCAAAAGUCGUGCAAAUCAAAUAAGUGCUACACACUCAGUCCCUCAUCACUGCAGCCUGUCUUGGUAUUAUCGCAUCAGCUGUAAUCUAAAGCCAACAACACCUGGUGAUAAUUACUACCUCAUCACGUAUCCUGUGUGCUGUAUGCUGCCUGUGGCGAUGGCUGAGGCUGGAUAUUGUCCAGUAGACGGCAAGGAUCUCGUCUAAUUUAGUGGUAUAAUGUGGUACUGCUGCUGAGAGAGAGAGAGAGAGAGAGAGAGAGAGAGAGAGAGAGAGAGAGAGAGAGUAUACGUGAUAUUUCAUAAACUGUAUUAUGCGCACUACAUACUUUUACUCGAUUGUGUUUCACUGACUCUAUUAGUCCUCCUCCUCCUCCUCCUCCUCCUCCUCCUCCUUAAUGUCUUACUUUCAGUUCACUAGUCUCCUCACACCACCAAGCAAAGGUGUUCUCAUUAUCUAAUUACCAUUAUGUUCCUCUUUCUUCCAGUCAUCUCAUUAUUUCCCAUGCUUAUCGGAAUUAACACGGUGAUGCAAGGCGCAAGAUGAAAAUUCAGCUUUUGCAACGGGGUUUAAAAAAUGGUUAUAGCCUAUCUAUUGUGCCUUAUAUAAUAUUUAAAUGACACUGAUUAAUGUUUCUCAAAUUCUACAGUUGUUUAUGCUAUCUAUCUCUUUGUUUUUGCAUUGCCUUUUAAAAAUUGGCAUUUGGACGACGCGAUCAGCUGACGAUGUAAACAAGACGAAGCAUCAGCUGGAGGUCUGCCAAAGAUUGCCUACCACCAACAACAAUCUUCGUUUCUUAACCCGAAAAGAGCUAAAACACCAUCUUGGAAUAUCAGCAGAACCGUGAAUUACUGUGGGAAGUGUUAAGCAAUGAGGGCUGAACGGGACUAAGUGGUGUUGAGGAGGAGACAUAGUGUAAUAGAAGAGAAAGGAGGCAGGGUAAGGCAAGGCUGGAACAGUUCAGCACUACGUCGCAGCAAUAUGGAUUCCUUAGAGCUCUUCCGACAGUGCAAGAAAGGAAACAUUGAGGAAGUAAGGUACCUAGUAGAGCAGCGGGAUGUUGAUGUCAACGUUCGAGAUAUCUGGGACAGCACUCCCUUAUACUAUGCCUGCCUGUGUGGACAUCUACAGUUGGUUGAGUAUCUCAUUGGAGUUGGUGCACACUGUGAAGCGAACACUUUUGAUGGGGAGCGUUGCCUGUAUGGGGCACUGACUGACAGCAUCCGGAAGAUUCUGACUCAACACAACCUGGUCACCACGCACACCAUCAGGAGGGAUGCUUAUGAGGAAUUCCUAAGAAGGUUGUUUGAAAGUGGGGAGCACAGUGACAUAACCUUUGUGGUGCAGGGGGAGAAUGUGCCCCUCCAUCGCUGCCUCCUCUCAGCACGAUCUGAGUAUUUUAGGGACAUGUUCUCCACCCGCUGGCGAGACCGAACCACCGUCACCAUAAACAGAGACCAGGUGCUGCCAGAUGCCUUCCGUGCAGUAAUGAAGUACAUCUACACAGGGAGGUUUGAGUGUCCUGUAGAGUUAGUUGAGUGCUGUAUCAGAAUUGGCACCAACUGUAAGCUACCCAAUUUUAAGACCAUCAUACAAGAAGCCCAGAAGAAGGCACAGGUGCUACAGCAAGGCAAGCAUGGACUGGUGAGAGUGACCCGAGUGGUGGUGGAGCCCGGGUCGUGUCAGGAUCAUGUCGGAUGGCAGAGUGUGGGGGCUGACCUGCGGGAGUUGGCCCAGUCCACCUUGCCGCCUGACCUCCGCUUCUGGCCCACGGAAAUGCCCUUCUGCCACACCUUAGACCAGACUAACUUUGCUGAUGUGUGCUUCAUGGUGGGCGACCAUCCGUUUUAUUGCCACAAGAUGUUCUUCUGUCCGAGGAGUGAGUACUUCCAGGCACUGCUAAGGGACCACUUCCAAGAGACAAGCUGGCAGAACACCUCUGGAUGUAGUCUGCCUGUGGUGUUCCUCCAUAACAUCUCUCCUGAGGUGUUUGCCACUCUGGUCCAUUACCUCUAUUGCAACCAGACAAUUGUGAGUAUGGAGACAGCCAUGGAGGUGAUGAUGGUGGCGGACAUGUUCCUGGUGCCGGGUCUCACCAGACAGUGUGGGGUGUACCUUGGGUCCUGCCUGCAGAUACACAGUGUUGUUACCAUCCUCAAGCUGGCCCGACUUUUCCAGUUGCCGCGCCUCGAAGACCAGUGUGUGGCUUUCAUGGCCAAGAAUCUCGACCAGGUGGUGGAAUUGGAGCAGUUCCAGACACUGGUGUUGCAAGAUGCAGAGGAAGUGAAAGGUCGUCAGGAAACAGACUCUGUCCAGGUUGUGGAUGACCUGCGGCACCAGAUCUCCUGUGGUGUGCAGACCAUCUCAGGCAUCCAGGAGGCGCGCACCAAGCUGGCCACGCUGGAGGCCUUGCUGGAGGAGCUGGGCAUUGAAGCCUAGAGAGAGAGAGAGAGAGAGAGAGAGAGAGAGAGAGAGAGAGAGAGAGAGAGAGAGAGAGAGAGAGAGAGAGAGAGAGAGAGAGAGAGAGAGAGAGAGAGAGAGAGAGAGAGA
rnacentral:misc_RNA from 1 species